AAUUUGAGUAUUAUAACUUCAAGCUAGCAACAUGUACUUAUUCUGUUGGAACAUGAUGGAUACAUGUAGGCUUGUGUCGGAACAUGAAUACAUGUAGGAAAACUGUACAAUGUUGAAACUUCAUUAAAUGAACAUUCAUUAGUCUAUUUGUGUCGUUAUUAGUGACAAGCUAUUGCUAUUGUUGCUUAAACUAUUAUGCGUAAUAACCAUCUGCAAAACAGGACUACCAAUUAUCUGCGA